ACCUGGCUGGCUCAGUCAGAAGAGCAUGAGACUCUUGAUCUUGGGGCUGUAGGUUUGAGCCCCACAUUAGGUG
rnacentral:tRNA from 1 species